rnacentral:rRNA from 1 species
CCUACGGGAGGCUGCAGUGAGGAAUAUUGGUCAAUGGGCGCGAGCCUGAACCAGCCAAGUAGCGUGAAGGAUGACGGCCCUACGGGUUGUAAACUUCUUUUAUAAAGGAAUAAAGUGAGGCACGUGUGCCUUGUUGUGUGUACUUUAUGAAUAAGGAUCGGCUAACUCCGUGCCAGCAGCCGCGGUAAUACGGAGGAUGCGAGCGUUAUCCGGAUUUAUUGGGUUUAAAGGGAGCGUAGUUGGGCUGUUAAGUCAGUUGUGAAAGACUGCGGCUCAACCGUAAAAUUGCAAUUGAUACUGGCAGUCUUGAGUACAGUUGAGGUAGGCGGAAUUCGUGGUGUAGCGGUGAAAUGCUGAGAUAUCACGAAGAACUCCGAUUGCGAAGGCAGCUUAC